rnacentral:rRNA from 1 species
UCGUACGAGAGUUUUUAACUCUAGUGGCGGACGGGUGAGUAACACGUGAGAAUUUGCCUUUAGGAGGGGGAUAACAAUCGGAAACGAAUGCUAAUACCCCAUAUGCUUUUGAGUGAAAUGGAUUUAUCCGCCUAAAGAGAAGCUCGCGGCUGAUUAGCUUGUUGGUGAGGUAAGAGCUUACCAAGGCGACGAUCAGUAUCUGGUUUGAGAGGACGAUCAGACACACUGGAACUGAGACACGGUCCAGACUCCUACGGGAGGCAGCAGUGGGGAAUUUUCCGCAAUGGGCGAAAGCCUGACGGAGCAAUACCGCGUGAGGGAAGACUGCCUAUGGGUUGUAAACCUCUUUUUUCAGGGAGGAACAAAAUGACGUGUACCUGAAGAAUAAGCAUCGGCUAACUCCGUGCCAGCAGCCGCGGUAAGACGGAGGAUGCAAGUGUUAUCCGGAAUCACUGGGCGUAAAGCGUCUGUAGGUGGUUUAAUAAGUCAACUGUUAAAUCUUGAGGCUCAACUUCAAAAUCGCAGUCGAAACUAUUAGACUAGAGUAUAGUAGAGGUAAAGGGAAUCUCCAGUGGAGCGGUGAAAUGCGUAGAUAUUGGAAAGAACACCGAUGGCGAAAGCACUUUACUGGGCUAUUACUAACACUCAGAGACGAAAGCUAGGGUAGCAAAUGGGAUUAGAUACCCCAGUAGUCCUAGCCGUAAACUAUGGAUACUAGAUGUUGAACAGAUCGACCUGUGCAGUGUCAAAGCUAACGCGUUAAGUAUCCCGCCUGGGAAGUAUG